GGACUACUAGGGUUUCUAAUCCUGUUCGCUCCCCACGCUUUCGCUCCUCAGCGUCAGUAUCGGCCCAGAGACCCGCCUUCGCCACCGGUGUUCCUCCUGAUAUCUGCGCAUUCCACCGCUACACCAGGAAUUCCAGUCUCCCCUACCGAACUCUAGCCUGCCCGUAUCGGCUGCAAGCCCACAGUUAAGCCAUGGGUUUUCACAGCCGACGCAACAAGCCGCCUACGAGCUCUUUACGCCCAAUAAUUCCGGACAACGCUCGCGCCCUACGUCUUACCGCGGCUGCUGGCAC
rnacentral:rRNA from 1 species